AUGGAGUUUACCUGCGCCGAGCUACCCAGCGACCUACAUAAGUAUUUCAAGAUCCUUGCGGAGGAUUACCGACGGGCUAGUAACUCGGAGGAUCAGCGCAGCGCCGUAGAGGUGGCAAUAGUGACGCUGGAGGACGAUGACACCGCGUUAGAUCACCCCAGCGUUCAUCGCCUCUACGAGCGACUGUGCGCGAAGUUUGACGAGUUAAGCGACGCGCUCUGUACCACGCCAGCGCCAGUCGCACCGCCGAUGGUUUCGGUUUCCUUCUCCCCGCCCCGUCGGAUCGUCGUGCCUACACCAACCUGCCCAGCUCCAUGGUUGUUUCCCUGGGAGGAUUUCCUGCUCUCACGCGGCCCUCAGUCUCCAGUUCAGCCGCGCGCUGCUCGGUCUCCAGUUCAGCCGCGCGCUGCUCAGUCUCCAAGUCAGCCGCGCGCUGCUCAGUUUCCAGUUCAGCCGCGCGCUGCUCAGUUUCCAGUUCAGCCGCGCGCUGCUCAGUCUCCAAGUCAGCCGCGCGCUGCUCCGCCUCCAAGUCAGCCGCGCGCUGCUCCGCCUCCAAGUCAGCCGCGCGCUGCUCAGUCUCCAGUUCAGCCGCGCGCUGCUCAGUCUCCAGUUCAGCCGCGCGCUGCUCAGUCUCCAGAUCAGCCGCGCGCUGCUCAGUCUCCAGAUCAGCCGCGCGCUGCCCAGACCCCAGUUCAGCCGUGUGUUACUCAUGCCCCGGUGCAGCCCUGUCGUCUCCAGGCCCCAGCCCAGUCGAACCUAGUCCAGACCCCAGAUCAGCCGUGUGUCGCCCAGACCCCAGAUCAGCCGUGUGUCGCCCAGACCCCAGAUCAGCCGUGUGUCGCCCAGACCCCAGAUCAGCCGUGUGUCGCCCAGACCCCAGAUCAGCCGUGUGUCGCCCAGACCCCAGUUCCGUCCUUGUCCCCGUCAGAGGGCACCGCCCGUCUGACGAUUGUUAACCCCACCCAAUCAGGCCCGUCGUCUUCCCCGUCGAGCUCGGCAGCCGUAAGUUGUCAUGCCAGCUCCGGAGUUGACGCCGUUCCAGUCCCUGUCGGCCAUGUUGCGGCCGUUCCAGUCCCUGUCGGCCAUGUUGCGGCCGUUCUAGUUCCUGUCGGCUCCUCAGAGGAGGACGCCGUUCUAGUUCCUGUCGGCUCCUCAGAGGAGGACGCCGUUCCUGUUCCCGUCGGCCAUAUUGAGGCCAUUCUAGUUCCAGUUCCUGUCGGCUCCUCAGAGGAGGACGCCGUUCUAGUUCCUGUCGGCCAAGCAGAGGCCGUUCCAGUUCCUGUCGGCCAUGUUGAGGUCGUUCCAGUUCCUGUCGGCCAUGUUGCGGUCGUUCCAGUUCCUGUCGGCCAUGUUGAGGUCGUUCCAGUUCCUGUCGGCCAUGUUGAGGUCGUUCCAGUUCCUGUCGGCCAUGUUGAGGUCGUUCCAGUUCUUGUCGACCAAGUUGAGGUCGUUCCAGUUCCUGUUCCUGUCGGCCAUGUUGAGGUCGUUCCAGUUCCUGUCCCUGUCGACCAAGUUGAGGUCGUUCCAGUUCCUGUUCCUGUCGGCCAUGUUGAGGUCGUUCCAGUUCCUGUCCCUGUCGACCAAGUUGAGGUCGUUCCAGUUCCUGUUCCUGUCGGCCAUGUUGAGGUCGUUCCAGUUCCUGUCCCUGUCGACCAAGUUGAGGUCGUUCCAGUUCCUGUCCCUGUCGACCAAGUUGAGGUCGUUCCAGUUCCUGUCCCUGUCGACCAAGUUGAGGUCGUUCCAGCUCCUGUCCCUGUCGACCAAGUUGAGGGCGUUCCCGUAGGCCAAGUAGAGGGCGUUCCCGUAGGCCAAGUAGAGGGCGUUCCCGUAGGCCAAGUAGAGGGCGUUCCCGUAGGCCAAGUAGAGGGCGUUCCCGUAGGCCAAGUUGAGGGCGUUCCCGUAGGCCAAGUAGAGGUCACCCCUGUCUCUGACCCCGUUCCUGUCGGCCCUGUAGCGGUCGUUCCAUUCCCCGUUCCCGUCGGCCCUGUAGCGGUCGUUCCAGUCCCCGUCACCCUUGGAGCCGCAGCGCCCGCCGGCCUCCAGGAGGAGGCAGCACCUGCAGUUCCUGCGCACCUCCAGGAGGAGGUCGCGCCAGUGGCAGUUCCUGCGCACCUCCAGGAGGAGGUCGCGCUAGCCGUAGUUCCUGCGCACCUCCAGGAGGAGGUCGCGUCAGCCGCAGUUCCUGCGCACCUCCAGGAGGAGGUCGCGUCAGCCGCAGUUCCUGCGCGCCUCCAGGAGGAGGUCGCGUCAGCCGCAGUUCCUGCGCGCCUCCAGGAGGAGGUCGCGUCAGCCGCAGUUCCUGCGCGCCUCCAGGAGGAGGUCGCGCCAGCCGCAGUUCCUGCGCGCCUCCAGGAGGAGGUCGCGUCAGCCGCAGUUCCUGCGCGCCUCCAGGAGGAGGUCGCGCCAGCCGCAGUUCCUGCGCGCCUCCAGGAGGAGGUCGCGCCAGCCGCAGUUCCUGCGCGCCUCCAGGAGGAGGUCGCGCCAGCCGCAGUUCCUGCGCGCCUCCAGGAGGAGGUCGCGCCAGCCGCAGUUCCUGCGCGCCUCCAGGAGGAGGUCGCGCCAGCCGCAGUUCCUGCGCGCCUCCAGGAGGAGGUCGCGCCAGCCGCAGUUCCUGCGCGCCUCCAGGAGGAGGUCGCGCCAGCCGCAGUUCCUGCGCGCCUCCAGGAGGAGGUCGCGCCAGCCGCAGUUCCUGCGCGCCUCCAGGAGGAGGUCGCGCCAGCCGCAGUUCCUGCGCGCCUCCAGGAGGAGGUCGCGCCAGCCGCAGUUCCUGCGCGCCUCCAGGAGGAGGUCGCGCCAGCCGCAGUUCCUGCGCGCCUCCAGGAGGAGGUCGCGCCAGCCGCAGUUCCUGCGCGCCUCCAGGAGGAGGUCGCGCCAGCCGCAGUUCCUGCGCGCCUCCAGGAGGAGGUCGCGCCAGCCGCAGUUCCUGCGCGCCUCCAGGAGGAGGUCGCGCCAGCCGCAGUUCCUGCGCGCCUCCAGGAGGAGGUCGCGCCAGCCGCAGUUCCUGCGCGCCUCCAGGAGGAGGUCGCGCCAGCCGCAGUUCCUGCGCGCCUCCAGGAGGAGGUCGCGCCAGCCGCAGUUCCUGCGCGCCUCCAGGAGGAGGUCGCGCCAGCCGCAGUUCCUGCGCGCCUCCAGGAGGAGGUCGCGCCACGCUCCAGGAGGAGGUCGCGCCAGCCGCAGUUCCUGCGCGCCUCCAGGAGGAGGUCGCGCCAGCCGCAGUUCCUGCGCGCCUCCAGGAGGGGGUCGCGCCAGCCGCAGUUCCUGCGCGCCUCCAGGAGGGGGUCGCGCCCGUCGCAGUCCCGGCGGACCCCCAGGAGGGGGUCGCGCCCGUCGCAGUCCCGGCGGACCCCCAGGAGGGGGUCGCGCCCGUCGCAGUUCCUGUCGACCCCCAGGAGGGGGUCGCGCCCGUCGUAG
rnacentral:lncRNA from 1 species